rnacentral:lncRNA from 1 species
GUACGGGGGCCUCAUGCACAUCUGUGAAAAACGGGAUAAAGAAAAUACAAGCUAAGCAGAUGGUGCAUCACCCAAGAAACCAAAAAAUGUGUACUAACCUCCGGAAACAGAUAGUUGUUUUGCAACUUUUCCAUAUUGACAUUCCGGGAUACCCUUGUCCUUGUGAAAUAAUCAGGCGCUGCGUUCACCAUUUGCAUCGUUUAUACAUGUCAUAAUAUAUACCUUAGUCUUGAUGUGCGCUCGUAUGAUGAUAUAGUAAAACAGACAUAGACAAGAGUGGAGUUGAUGAUCACAUACCAGCUGCUACCACUGAUGUUUCCAUUUGUGCUUUCAACCUGCAUAACAAUACAACAAUCAAUGAAACUGACGAUUAUACAUAUAUGAUGAAAUUUAUGGGCAUAAUGUUCGUGCAUGGAGGAACUAUAAUCACUACGGUUAUGUGAUUAAAGCAUUACCUAGACCUAGACUCCAGCAAAACUGGGCAGUGCAUGAUAGAACUGCCGGUUGAUAUCUUAUACAUGAUUUUAUUUCUGAUGAAUGUGUGGAAAUAAGAAUUGGUGUGAGGUGACUAGCAAAAAGCAUGUAAUAGUUUAUGAGUUGAGGAUAUAUAGAUAGAUAUAUAUAGCGGACGCUACCAUGCAUGAACAAGGUUUUGAAUUGAAUUUGUCACUCUGAAGUUAUUUGUGUCCUUAUUGUAUGUCAAAGGCUCAAAGCAGACAACGAUGCACCAAUUUCUUUGCUGUAGGCCCUCACUUUGAAUCAUCCACAUGUGAAAUCGAUUAAUAGUAAUACAUGGUUCACACUUGCUUUUUUUUUUUCCCUGGUCUUUAUUCUUACAAUUCUAGAUGUGUUGUUGGACUAGGUUAUAGAUGGUGCUCGUGUAACUUUCGAGCAGGGAAAUUUGUUUAGAAAUUGUUGUAUCCAUCUAAUUUCUAUUAAAAACUCCUUUUCGCCGGUACAUUGCAUACAAUUCCUCCACACCACCGCCUCCCCACCGGCCCCCUUCUCUUUCUUUUGAUAGCAUAAUGUAGAGUGAGGUGAGGGUGGAACCAGAAUGGCAUUAUCAUUAAGAUAAAAACGUUAGCGCCACCUCCACCAGCCCCUUCUCUUUCUUUUGAUAGCAUAAUGUAGAGUGAGGUGAGGAUGGGAACCAGAAUGGUAUUAUAUCUGUUACUUGAUAUUUUUUUAGAGCACAAGAAAUAUAUUUGAAUUUCCUAACAAAAGAAGGGAAUGAAUAUAUUUUAUUUUAUCUUUCAAGAGGAUCAAUAGUGAUUCCUCACUUAUUCCUUUUUGAUGAUUCAAACUUGUGACCUAUCGAUUAUAGAUGAAUCAUCUUAUCAACAAAGUUAUAUGAUAGCUCCUGAAGAUAAAAACAAAAAAAAACAAAAAAAGGAUGGCUGUGAUGAUAGUUUAUGAGGACAAUUUGGAGUUCACUUCUCUGAUAAUGCAAUCUCCACAUGCCACCAAUAAGAUGGCUGUGACAAUUCUAGUGGUGCUGGUGGCUCAAAGCAAGGUCAUUGGUCCUGUUCUUUUUUAUAGCAUAUGCUUAUACUAUAAGCUAACAAGUUAGCCAGCACUAGGGAUAUAUGUCUAGCUUUGACCCUGUAUAAUUAAGUAUGGCAUACUACAUAAUCAUUUCCGGUACUCCGACGGGGAUGAAGGUAUGUUCAAUGCAGUUUUGAUCUGUUUUCCUGCAGUCCAAAAUUUAUACAUUUGAAUGAGCAAGUCCGGUCUUAUGAAUUAAUAAACGUGCAGCAUUUUGAUCCAAGGCAGCUAGAGACAUAUCGCAAUGUUUCUGUGAAAUGUCGGGGAAUCUUUCUUGUUCUGUAAAAUUUCUUAUCUUGAAAUCAAAAGAUCAGAAACAUGAUGACGACAGUCUAACCCCAAGAAAUCCAAUGGAGAAUCCCACACAGAUUUUCUUUCUUUCUUUUUUUUUUUUUAAAAAAAAAAAAUUUUUUGUUAAGGAAGAAGUAACAUCUAGACAUGCUUGAUGACUCAUGCAUGAGUAAUUAGGAGACUUUCUUUGCGGAUGAUUUCUCAAAUUAAUCCUCCCGUACUUGUUGCACUAAUUACAUCUACCAAUUUUCCACCGAAUUUCCUUUGUUCAAGCCUGCGAAAUAAGAGCUCUCAUAAAAUUAAUGCAGAUAAAAGUUGAAAGACUCCUUUAAAUGUUACAAAUUGGUCAAGUAGCCAGCCAGUUAAACAAUUAAUGUAAUCAAAACAAAUUAGGUAUGGGUACGUACUUGUUAGAUGUUACUUACUACUACUUUUAUAUGCUAUUGCUUUUGUUCACGCAACUGGGAAGAUACUAAGCAUUUAUGCCCGAGAAAUAGUAGUACUAUACAAAUAUGUUGACUAAACCAAACUACAUCUGACAGUUUCUCAAAUAACGCCAAAGCAGCACGUAUAUUCUAGAUACAUAUACAGAAGAGCUUUAAGAAAAUAUGCAGAAAAAGGCAGAAGAAAAUAAAAUGUCCACCAACCUGCUGCUAGUAAUUUAGCGAGAGAUCAACUAAAAGUAGACUCUGACCUUUGGAAAUAGAUUAAUUGGGCAGAGGAAGUGCCGCAUCCCACCCAGAACCUUGCAAACAAUUAAUUAUGACACAUAAAAUAUUGACUUUUCUUGGCCUUUAGUUUACUGCGUAAACUAUAUAUGGUAAACACUGGAGAAAUAGUCAUCAUUUUGAAAAAAAAUUCCAGGUUUUGAAAACCAAACUGAACAGCUGCUGUGAUUAAAGACUCAAAUAUGUUCAUCGGUCAGAGUUCAAAUGAGUCCAAGAAGCUCCAAAUUAAACAAAUAUUGCCAGGGCAUUAUUUUCUUAUGUACGCAAGCAAUACUCAUGGGGAUAGCCAGGACAGAAGAAUAAUUAUUGACUUAAAUCAGUCAAACUUUUUACCGCGCAUUCAUUUGAAGUUUGGAACCGUGACUAAUUGCAGAGAGAAACCUCUCGUUUUCGCGUACGUGGAAGAAGAGUUGAUGAGGCCAAAAAAGCCAAAAUGGAGGAAUUGGCGAGUCAAGGCUGAAGACAUCGAAAGAGGCCAACUGUCAGCAAUUUAGCCAGAGCCCUUUUUGAAAUUGCGUAUUCAAGGCGUGCAUAAAGUAUCAACGCCCGCUUUGAGAUUUGUUCGAACAACGUACCUGAUCAUCCUACGUAGGCAGAUAUAUAGGCUCUUGACUUCUUUCUAAUUCUAGCUAGAAUAUCUGUGCAAAGACAAAAUGCUUGCGUUAUAUAAAUCAUCUUAGUAAUGUUCACUUUGGACUUCCGAGUUCGAAGGUUGGAAAAUUCUAAUUCCUGAAGUGAGCAACAACUAAUAACGCAUGCCUGCCAAAUUUGUUUUUUGAGCUUUAUGAAGUUUCAAAACCUGUUUUAGACUUAGACUUGUGGAAAGAUGCGAAACAUUAAUUCUUCUUAUUUAGAUGCAUGCAUCAGAAAACCAAAUUUAUUCGGUCGGUAUAGGCUCUAUAUCCUUUGUUGAAAGAUUGGGAGUCCAACCUUGUUAAAGGCUUAAAGCAUGCAAGAUAAUAUAUUUGUUUGGCAGUACUUCAAGUAUAUAUAACAGGAGUUUCUUGUUUUGGAACUAGUAUAAUCACGUUUAAGGCCCCCCACAGGCAGCUCGGGCGGACUUCGCGUUCUUAGUUAAGGCGCCGGUCCUGGUUUCGAUUCCGCGCUUGGGCUGCUUGGGGUAAUUUCCUGAGGAUCGGUGGGGCCCGCUCUCCUCGGGGUUGGUAGGAUUAGUCGGGGUGAGACCCGGACACCUUCCAACUGAAAAAAAAAAAAAAAAUCACGUUUAAGGAUAUAUAUGGUGAACUUGGAUCUUUUCUUUUCUUUUUUUCCUUUUUAUGUACCUAAGCAAGUGCUUCUUUUAUCUCAACAUGUACCUACUUGAUUAACCGAAUACUGAAAUUGUAGUAAGUAUGAUUUUUCUUCAUAGCCUUUCUAUCGUCCCCACCCACCUUAACUUUCUUCAUCUCCAUGGCCAUUUCCUUGGCCUACAUAUGUGUAUAUAUAUAUAUCACUCCCUGAUCGCCAGACUGAAUAUAUUAUAAAAAAGUUGUUGGCCAUGCGUCUUGGUCAAUAGCUUAGUCACAAAUCGAAAUAAGAAAAAAGAAAUGAAAAGGAACCAUAGAUAGAAGUUGAAGGAUUAAGGUGGACGUACGUAGCAUUCCAGCCCAGUUGACUGGUAAAAUUAUCAUACUCAAAUAGCUAGUAUUAUCAGGUGACGUACUGAUCAAUUUAUUUUCUUUUCUUAUUGUUUUCCUUGUCUCUUUUUGGUAGGAGUAAAUCUUAUACGGGGAGACACUAACCUUGGAACUUCCUCGUUGGUAACCUUCUCGGAAACUUUGUGGUAAAAUUAUUUAAGAGAACUGACGCCAUGCAACAAUUUCUUGAAUUUUUACUUCUUCAUUAUUCAUCAAUUGUGGAAUUAGAUAAGGAGUGUUGUCGGAGAUAACAACUAUUUAUGGCAAGGCAUGACUGCAAGCUUAGUCUACAAAAUGUUUUAUUAACAAAUUGAAAUUGUGCGGACAGACAUGAUUCAUUGCCAAUACAUAGUAACUUUUUGCAUUAUGCGUGCGAUUCACCAAUUACUAUAGGAAAUUUAGCUAUUAUCAAUUAAUUUUACAACUUGUGAAUUGCAAUUUACAACGUGUGAGGUGUUUUGCAGUACAUUUCUCCAACAUUUCGCACUAUUGAUUGUUCUUAACCCCCAAUGCUUGCUUGUAGAACUUGAAACUGUAGGUAAAUCACACAACGGAUUUUUUGUCUCACUUUCUGUGCCGCUCUCUCACACACUUUUUAUUAUAUUACUAUUUCUCCUUCAUAAACAUCAUAUUUUAAUUUUUUUUUAUUUUCUUAAAAUCCAAUAAUUAUUAACUAGAUGACAACGCAGAUACUUAAAAUACAUGUGUUUAAAAAAAAUGUAUUCACACACAUAAUUAGUGAGGGAUGGAAAUAUUCAUUUUUUGAAAUAUGAGGGAUGGAGAAAUUCAUUUUGUGAAAUGUGAGGGAUGAAAAAAAUCAUUUUACAAAAUGUGAGGGACGAAAAAAUUUAUUUUAUCAAAUGUGGAGGACUAUAGAUCAGAUUAUGUAAAAUAUAAUUUGACAAAUUUACCCUUCAAAAAUGAUCACGUGCCUUGCACGUGAUGGAUUCCGGCCAAAAAAUGAUCGGAAACCUAGUUAAGGACUAAAUUUGACCGAUGUGAAUAUUUAAGGGACAUAAAAUUACACUUUUAAAAGUGAGGGACGAAAAAAGUCAUUUUACAAAAUGUGAAGGACGUUUUGGAUGAUUUUCCCAAAAAAGAAGGUAUUGCACAUUUCGAGCCAAUAAUAAUCCUGCAAAUUAAGCCCAAGCCGUAAACCAACUGAGCUUUCUUAAGGUUAACAGACUUGAGGCCCAGACCCAGAGCCUCAAAGUACUGGAUAAAUUGGGAUUAGUGCAGCAGCUAUGGCCUAUGGACAUUGUGGGUUAAAUUCCUAUAAUGGCUCUCUCUCCAAGACAGAGACUGAUUUUGAUCGUCUUAAUUAUUCUUAGGAACGAGAUACUACGAUUAAAAGGCUAAUUAAGAUCCAAAGUGCAAAGUGAAAAUGUGUUCGAAACUUUUACAGAUACAAAAGUUGCUUUGCUGCUAAGUCCAAACAGUACAUGAGAGGAGAUUAUUUAAAAUAAUUUUUUUAGAAUAAGUAGGGUAAUGCCUUUUAUGAUUUAAUUAUGUAGUUGAAAAUGUGACGUAGGAAAUGGAAAUUUUUUUGGUAUAAAAACAUUUUUAAACACACGCACAAUUUAACUCUAUAAAACUGUUUCUUAUUGUUAGGAUUGGUUAUGAAAAAGCUUAGUAUAAAUUAAUCAAUUUUAACACAUAUUUUUUGGGUUGACCUAUAUAUCUAAAAUCGGUUUAAUUCCUACAAAUUCCAAGUUUUAAGAGACGGGGAGUCUGAGAAAAUGAGAUUUAUAUGGGUUAAUAGAAUAAUAAUCGGUAAUAGUUUGGCUUUUGAUGAGUAUAAUCUUUUGAAUUUGGCCUAAAAAAAAGAAUUUGGCAUCUAAUAAUUCAAAGUCCCUCUCAUAUUUAACCCAAAAAAGAAGAAGAAGAAGAAAAAAGGGAUAACAAACAUAAACUCAUUUCAUUAAAAAAUAUAUAUAUUUUAAGGGGGAGGGGCUGGAAAGAAAAAAAGAAUGGACUCGUGCUAGCCAUAUGUGAUGUAUAUAUAUAUAUAUAUAUAUACCUGUACAUCAAAAAGCGCUAAUGCUUUCUUGAGCCAAUUUUUUCCUAUUUCAACAAAUUUGUGAAAAAUCAAAUAACGUAUUUGUAAAUUACAUUUUAAUUUAAAAGAAUGCAUUUUGUUGAUGCAUUUUUCACCUUUGGAAUGAAAGUCAAAAAUCGCCACCGUCUCUGGAAAAGUCAGUUCACAUUUUCUGGGAAUUUACUUGAGCAAAGUUUAGUUGAAAAUCAACCCGGGAAACAGAUCUCAGUCGCAAUUCAAGUAAACCGCUUCGGCUUAUUAGCUUUCUCUCUACGCUAAGGCGUAGCGUUGCCGGAACGCGGUCUGUAAACACACUUCUGCUGCUGCCAUUGUGAGCUGCUACUACUAGUACAAUAACAAGGUACAAGGCGGCGUCUAUACAUACACUCCCGCCCCUCAGUCGCUGUCUCGUUCGCUUUUCACUUUUAGUAGUUUUCAGUUUCCUUUGUCGGGGCCUGGUUGCCUGUACUUCCCUCUUUUCUCCUUUUCAAA